CCAAAUUUCAUUAUUUUAUAUAUAGUGACUCUUCCUAUACAUUUCUUCUUCAAGAAAAAAAAAAUAUCUUCUUUUUUUCUCCAUUUUAUCUCUUUUGCUUUACUCUUUGAUCUUCUCCGUCGUUGUACCACCACUACGCCACCAUGGUUCUGUCCAAGAUAGCAUCGGAAAGUGACGUGUCCGUUCACUCGACUUUCGCGUCUCGAUAUGUUCGAACUUCUCUCCCAAGGUUUAAGAUGCCAGAAAAUUCAAUACCAAAGGAAGCAGCCUAUCAAAUUAUAAAUGAUGAACUUAUGUUAGAUGGAAAUCCAAGGUUGAAUUUGGCAUCUUUUGUGACAACAUGGAUGGAACCA
rnacentral:misc_RNA from 1 species